UACGGAGGAUCCGAGCGUUAUCCGGAUUUAUUGGGUUUAAAGGGAGCGUAGGCGGGUUGUUAAGUCAGUUGUGAAAGUUUGCGGCUCAACCGUAAAAUUGCAGUUGAUACUGGCAUCCUUGAGUACAGUAGAGGUAGGCGGAAUUCGUGGUGUAGCGGUGAAAUGCUUAGAUAUCACGAAGAACUCCGAUUGCGAAGGCAGCCUGCUGGACUGUAACUGACGCUGAUGCUCGAAAGUGCGGGUAUCAAAUAGG
rnacentral:rRNA from 1 species